rnacentral:misc_RNA from 1 species
GAUGAAGAACGAAGCGAAAUGCGAUACGUAAUGUGAAUUGCAGAAUUCAGUGAAUCAUCGAAUCUUUGAACGCAUAUUGCGCUCUCUGGUAUUCCGGAGAGCAUGCUUGUUUGAGUAUCAGUAAACACCUCAACUCCCUUUUCUUUUUUGAAAUUGGAGCUGGACUUGAGUGAUCCCAACGCUUUCUUCCAAGAAAGUGGCGGGUUGCUUGAAAUGCAGGUGCAGCUGAACUUUUCUCUGAGCUAUAAGCAUAUCUAUUUAGUCUGCCUAAAAAACAGAUUAUUACCUUUGCUGCAGCUAACAUGAAGGAGACUAGUUCUUGUGCUGACUGAUGCAGGAUUCACAGAGACAGCUUCGGCUGACUUUGUAAACUCGAUCUCAAAUCAAGUAAGACUACCCGCUGAACUUAAGCAUAUCAAUAAGCGGAGGA